UCCUUAUACUAGUUGUCUUCUCUUUACUCUUAGAGAUCUGUUCUGAUAAAGUGAUGAAGAUGUGGAAACAUUGACAAUGGGAGAAGCAUCUAUGCUUUUGUUCCUCCUUUUUGAUAAGAUUCGUUGUAAAGAAUAAAGUGGUGGGUUUGAAUUGCACACCAAAAGAAUGAAGAUAGUAUUGAAGUCGAGGAGGUAAAGAUGGAGAGAGAAUGAUAAUAAAUGGAGACAAUGGUUGUGGUUUCCCUUCGGAUCAACCUUAAUAUAGUGAGAAUUAAUGUUAUUAGACAUGUAUUAUCUCAUUUGUAAACACGUUCUUCAUCUUUUGAGAUUAAUGGUACUGUUUGAGACAUUUGUACAAGAUUUAUGUAUAAUUAUGAGUUACCAAUGAUUUGUUACAA